CGAAAAGGGGGUCUUCGGCUUCCUAUUUGGACGGGAAAGAGGCAUAUUUUGGUGACCCACACAAACGGUGAGAAGAGGUACAUGUAUAGAGAGAAAGGGGCACAGCAACUGAAAGGAGAGGGAAGUCCAGACACUCGACCACGGUCUGCCAUUGAAUAAGAAGUCUCUCUUUGGAUCAGGGGGUCAAGCUCCUAGUAUGAAGAUUGUUCAAGAGUCAAGACUGUUGAAGAGGUGACGUCAUGGACCUGGUAGCACCUGGCAAGGGAACUAUAUUACUGUUCAUAAAUCUAUUACUCAAGUAUCCUAAAAACGCUUUAAAAAUUUGAACAUUAACAAAAGUACUAAUUUUCAUUUUUCAAAGAUAAUAAUCAUUAUAUUGACAUUGUGAAUAUAUUUUAUGAUUAUCAUAAAAUUAUUAUAAUGUAAAUGAUGAUAGGUCAUACUAAUACAAAUAAACAAUAAGUAGAAAAGAAGACAACCAAGAAGGAGGAGGAGAAGAAGAAAAAGAAGAGGGGUGGAAGAGGAGAAAAGGAGAAGAAGAAUAAAUAACAACACUGAGUUCCUCUUCAUGAUAUUACAGAAAUCUUCAUCUUUAAGUGGAAAUAUUUAUGAAUAGUAUAAUAUAUAAUGUAUGAAAAAAAAACAUUUUAUCUAAA